GGGUGAUUAGCUCAGCUGGGAGAGCACCUCCCUUACAAGGAGGGGGUCGGCGGUUCGGCAGUUGACUUUUAAUCAAUUGGUCGCAGGUUCGAAUCCUGCACGACCCACCA
rnacentral:tRNA from 1 species